GAAAAAAUGCUUUCAUUACGAUAAAAACUAACAUAUCUUCACCCUUCAGCGACUAUGCUCAUGCAUAGAGUUUUCUUAAUACGAAGUCUAUAAAAUCUAUAGCUUCAAGAUAUUUCGGCUCAUUUUUAACGUAAAGUCAUUUGAUGAACGAAUUUUUGGUUUGGAACUGAACGAUCAUUGAAGAUGCUGUCCUGACUCUUCGCCAAACAACAGUCAAGAGUGGGUAGUCAAAUGCAGGCUGGCUAUUACUAAUGGCCGCGGCGUCGAUGGUGGUGUUCGUGAUACUGUUAGAUAACAGUGAAGGAAGUGAUGGCACAGCCGCUAUUAAAGUCAAACGGAAUAAAGUCGAUAUUGCUGGCUAUGGUGAUUGUAGUGGUAGUGACAGUGGUGACGGCCACACGCACCAUUUAUCAUAAAAUACACAUUUGAAGCGUUUAUCUUUUUCUUUUCUCCUUUGAAAGGGAGGAUGCGAACGACGCACUUUAUCCUGUAUAACCAUAUUGCGUGCAUGCAUAUGACAUACCUACAUAUCAAGUAGAAAAAUCCUCCCGCGUGGGUAAACAUGCAACAUACGAAUAUUUUCGUACAUGUGUUGUAUUUGCCGUGAGGUUGAGACGCUGAGUGGGCGCAGACGAGCGCUAAGGAUAUGCGGGCAUAAAAGCAUACAUACAGAUACACAUGCAGCAUAUUUUAAACAAAUAGUAUAGCUUGUUAUUACGCACUAACGGGGUUGUGCGAAAGCGUGGGUUAAAAAUUAUGGAGCUGUAAUAAAUUGGAUUAGUUCAAGUUGACGCCAUUUUGACGAUGCAGCCGUUGGCUGGAAAAAAACUGUGUGGCUGUGGAAGGAGAAAGAAAAGCAAAGGAUUCGUUAUGCAUAUUGAUUUACUUAUAGAACUUACAUACAUAUAUAUGUAUAUGAAGGUAGUAAAUGGAAAAUAUAAAGAAGAAAUCUGAGAGAAUUCAUUCGGCAGAUAUUUUAGAUAUUUUAUAUUUUCGAACAAUUUACUGAACUUAGCAAGAAGCGUUUACUAACUUUAAGAUCCUUGGAAUAUAUUUCAAAUACAAAUCCGCUCCUCUACAACUUAAAAAAUAAAGCCCCAAAAUAUGUCUCGCCUGGAAUGACAUAAAUUACCUAAGCUUACAAACGAAGAUACGCCUCGACAAAGAAAAAACUGCUAAACCCUGUUAAAAAUUAUAAAAGUUGUUUUCAAACUGUAACAAAUCACAGAUGACUCAGCAGAUUGCAAUAGCGUUUUUUUCCAUAGAACUCUGAAAUGUUUACUAUCACUCUGCAUUAAAAAAUUCAUCAACUACGUU